CAGUCGCCACGGGAAUACGAACCGUGCGAACGUUAUUCGGAAUUACUGGGCUUAAAGCGCGUGUAGGCGGGUUCGCACGCCUGAUGCUGAAAUCCCCCGGCUUAACCGGGGAAGUGGCACGGAUACGGCGAGUCUGGAGGGAGGUAGGGGGGUCUGGAACUUCCGGUGGAGCGGUGAAAUGCGUUGAGAUCGGAAGGAACGCCCGUGGCGAAAGCGAGGCCCUGGACCUUUUCUGACGCUGAGACGCGAAAGCCAGGGGAGCGAACGGGAUUAGAUACCCCCGUAGUCCAUGUCUCUUAUU
rnacentral:rRNA from 1 species